AUGGUGACGGUGAAUGGUGAUGGAGAUGAGAGCAGUGAUGAUGAUGAUGGUGAUAGUGUUGGCGAUGAUGAUGCUGAUGGUGAUGAUGUUGAUGGAGACGGUGAUGAUGUUGUUGAUGGAGAUGGUGAUGAUGAUGUUGAUGGAGGUGAUAGUGGUGAUGAUGUUGAUGGAGGUGAUGGUGGUGAUGAUGGUGAUGAUGAUGUUGAUGGAGAUGGUGAUGAUGUUGAUGUUGAUGGUGAUGUUGAUGGAGAUGGUGAUGGUGAUGAUGAUGUUGAUGGUGAUGAUGUUGAUGUUGAUGAUGAUGUUGAUGGAGAUGGCGAUGGUGAUGUUGAUGUUGAUGAUGAUGUUGAUGUUGAUGGAGAUGGUGAUGGUGAUGUUGAUGGAGGUGAUAGUGGUGAUGAUGUUGAUGGAGAUGGUGGUGGUGAUGAUGGUGAUGUUGAUGGUGAUGGAGAUGGUGAUGGUGAUGAUGAUGUUGAUAGUGGUGAUGUUGAUGUUGAUAGUGAUGUUGUUGAUGUUGAUGAUGAUGUUGAUGGAGAUGGUGAUGUUGAUGGAGAUGGUGAUGGUGAUGUGAUGGUGAUGUUGAUGAUGUUGUUGAUGUUGAUGAUGAUGUUGAUGUUGAUGGAGAUGGUGAUGGUGAUGUUGAUGGAGGUGAUAGUGGUGAUGAUGUUGAUGGAGAUGGUGAUGGUGAUGAUGGUGAUGUUGAUGGUGAUGGAGAUGGUGAUGGUGAUGAUGAUGUUGAUGGUGAUGUUGUUGAUGUUGAUGAUGAUGCUGAUGUUGAUGAUGUUGUUGAUGUUGAUGUUGAUGUUGAUGUUGAUGGAGAUGGUGAUGUUGAUGGAGAUGGUGAUGGUGAUGAUGGUGAUGUUGAUGGUGAUGGAGAUGGUGAUGGUGAUGAUGAUGUUGAUGGAGAUGGUGAUGUUGAUGAUGAUGUUGAUGAUGUUGUUGAUGUUGAUGAUGAUGUUGAUGUUGAUGAUGAUGUUGAUGGAGAUGGUGAUGUUGAUGGAGAUGGUGAUGGUGAUGGUGAUGAUGAUGCUGAUGUUGAUGAUGAUGUUGAUGGAGAUGGUGAUGGUGAUGAUGUUGAUGUUGAUGAUGAUGUGA
rnacentral:lncRNA from 1 species